GACGAACGCUGGCGGCGUGCCUAAUACAUGCAAGUUGAGCGCUGAAGGUUGGUACUUGUACCAACUGGAUGAGCAGCGAACGGGUGAGUAACGCGUGGGGAAUCUGCCUUUGAGCGGGGGACAACAUUUGGAAACGAAUGCUAAUACCGCAUAAAAACUUUAAACACAAGUUUUAAGUUUGAAAGAUGCAAUUGCGUCACUCAAAGAUGAUCCCGCGUUGUAUUAGCUAGUUGGUGAGGUAAAGGCUCACCAAGGCGAUGAUACAUAGCCGACCUGAGAGGGUGAUCGGCCACAUUGGGACUGAGACACGGCCCAAACUCCUACGGGAGGCAGCAGUAGGGAAUCUUCGGCAAUGGACGAAAGUCUGACCGAGCAACGCCGCGUGAGGGAAGAAGGUUGUCGGAUCGUAAAACUCUGUUGGUAGAGAAGAACGUUGGUGAGAGUGGAAAGCUCAUCAAGUGACGGUAACUACCCAGAAAGGGACGGCUAACUACGUG
rnacentral:rRNA from 1 species